GGGGACCAGUAAAUGUAAUUGAAGGAAUGUUCUUGCCUGCAUAACUCACCUUGCAAAUCUUUCACAAAAACCAGCAGAAAGUAUUUUUGGUUCUUCUUAUUGAACUGUGCCUACAUGAGUUCAUGAGGGAUCAAUUCACCAUCUCCCACAACCCAGAUCUAACAGAGAAAAUUAGAGGGCAACAUGACACGCUUCAACUCACAUGAACCUUCUAAAAGCUCACUGCAAGAUGUGGAGGGAGAACCUGUGAACAGCUUUGGGCUCCAGAGCCAGGAGGUCUAUUUCCAUCCUAGCUGCAGCUCUUUGCAGAAGCAGCAACAGCAAACUCCUGUCAGCAGUGGUUCUUCUGAGUGGGACAGUCCAAGGACAUCUUUACCAAACUCAGGGAAUACCACAAGUUCCUACCAAGAAAUAGAUAACAGAAGAUUGAGGUAAAACUUUUUUUUUAUGACAGAUGAUUUUAAAACUUAGCAAUAAUAAUACUUAUGACUAAUUUUGUACAGAUGAGGAAGGGCU
rnacentral:lncRNA from 1 species